UACAGAGGUGCUCAAGCGUUUGUUCGGAUUCAUUGGGCGUAAAGGGUGCGUAGGCGGCGCGGUGAAGUCGGGUGUGAAAUCUCGGGCUUAACUCCGAAACUGCAUUUGAUACUGGCGUGCUUGAGGACUGGAGAGGAGACUGGAAUUCAUGGUGUAGCAGUGAAAUGCGUAGAGAUCAUGAGGAAGACCAGUGGCGAAGGCGGGUCUCUGGACAGUUCCUGACACU
rnacentral:rRNA from 1 species